rnacentral:lncRNA from 1 species
AUUUCUAAUGCUGGACAAACACAUUUUUCACUACACUCAUCUACAGAGAACUAAACAAACAACUGUGCGUACCUGUGAAUUGUCACUAUGCAUUUUUCUUACCCUACAGAUGGCAAUAUUGAUAAUUAACAAUAAUGUUGCCAACUUUUGCGAGGAAUAUGUUUUAUGGAGGGUGUUUGGUUUUCAUUUGACUGCCCCUUAUAUUUUUAAUUUCAAAAUUUUUUACAUAAAUUAAUGUACAGUCAAUUUCAAAAAGGUGUUCACCUAGGUGGAAGAUGUUCAGCUUCCUUACAAUACUUACAAACCAAUGAGAAUAACUGGUUCAG